rnacentral:rRNA from 1 species
AUGGCUUUCUCACAUGGUCGUUUACUACACGAAGGAUCUCCUGUUGAGAUAUCAUCAUCAAUGGAUGAAGCGCUUUGCAAGAUGGAGCAGGAUGUGCUCCCGAGGAAUAAAAAGGAGACACAAGCCCCUUCAAGCUUUGGUGCGGUAGAUGCUACCACUUCUGAUGAUGUGCACAGCAGUGUCACCCCAGGUUCUGUUCGGCCGGCAAGGGUUGUGCAACCUCCCCCAGAAGUGGAUUUCGAACCUCCAAUAAAGGCCACGAAGCAACAACAAGAACUUUAUGAUAUCAUGAGGCGUUUUGGAAAUGUGCGAAGUAACAACAUGCAUAUGAAUGCAAUCAGAGAAACUAAGGUCAUCAACUGCUACUCCACGUUCGUUCACAUGGACGAUCUCACCAAGUCUCUGAUGCAUACCGGCAAACUAUCCCAGAAUGUUUUUGCCGCGGGUAUUGACUAUAUCAACGGACACAUUGACAUCCAUCCCGAUAAGAUCAUUAUGAGCACAACCAUCAUGAGGAGAAUUUGGGACAGCGACUUCUCUCAUCCCCAAGUUUGUAAAGUGUUUGCCCAACAUGGUGACUACAAGCUCACACUGAAGAAAUUUGUGAUGUUCGAGAUGUUCCAAGAGCUUGCUCCCAAUGAUUCACACGACAAAGUUUGA